CGACGAUGAGUUCGAUGACACUGAUGAAGAGCUAUAUGAUCUUCGGAAGUGCCAGGCAAGCAAACCCCCUUGUUCAUUCCGAUAUAAUCCCACUCUCUCGCUCCUGCUCUUUUUUACUGCAUUAGAACAACAACGAUUCAUCUGUUACUUGCUGCGGUAGUUGAACCCCUUAUCCUCUGCAUGACCUGUCAUUGCCACAGUAAAUAGAUGAAACCCACUAGCAUGAGUAGGAGUUGUUUGAGCCCUGAUGUGCCUACUCAUUCAUGCUUGUUUGUCAUGCCUACUAUUGCUUAGAGUUGAGUCGGGUCUGAUUCAUCGAGGAUGAAUUGGAAUGGUGAUGAACAUGUCCUACGGUGUGUGAGCUAAGUGUGUGAACACGAUUUGGUAAAGGUAGCGGUGAGAGGCCAUGUAGGAGUACAUGGUGGGUUGUCUCAUUGAAGCCGUCCUCAGGAACUGAGUUCUGUGUUUGUGAUCCAUGAUACAGUUACUACCACGCAUUGGGCCCGAAACCAAUGGACCCUCUCGGCUUCUUAAUCACCCUUAUCCUCUGUCCAGGAGUUGCAAGUAGUUUCUGGUGUUUGUAGUAUGCUGGAGGCCGUGGGCAGCGCUGACCCGAGGGGUGGGUUGUGAUGCGGUAGGCACGUGGCCGGGCAUGCCGGGCGCCCGUUUGGUGUCGCGGAACCCUGUACACAUCGUUCGGGGCCGUAUGUGGAAACCUCGGCCGGACUCCCUGCGGAUGGAACCUGAAUAGGCGAUAAACCUGGACUAGAGACUUGAGUGUUUAGGUAGGCUGUGGCCGACACCCUCGCUGGGCUUCCGCUUGAAGGUUGCCGAGUACAUGCUGCGUAAACGGCGGUAAGUGGUGAGAGCGUGUGUGACGAAGUACACCCCUGCAGGGUUAAUAUGAUCUAUUCGAAUAGCCGUGUCCGCGGUAAAGGACUUCUGGGUUGCCUAUAACAGUUCAUAGACAAGUGAAAGUGGAUACUCUAAAAUGCGCAAGAUAAGCAUGAGUGCUAUGGAUGGCGUUCUCGUAGGGAGACGGGAGCGGAUCCAUAGUGGAGUAUUGAUAUGGUGAAUAUGUGGACUCGUGUGCGCCACCUCAAAAGAGUUAUUUGCAGUCGUAGCUAGGAUAGCCACCGAGUCAAAGCUGGCUUGCUGCAGUUAAACUCCACCACCCCCUUUGUUGAUACCGAUGCAUAUGUAGCUAGUUCUGAUGUAAGUCUUGCUGGGUACAUUUGUACUCACAUUUGCUUAAUUUAUGUUUUUGCAGAAAGACUUCAGUCUCGCUAGUAGUUCCGCGUGGAUUUCGACGUUUAGCUUGUUACCUCAGCUACGAUCUUGUGCCCUCGGUAGGAUCUAGUAGAUAGUCAGGCUGCUCAGCCUUUUUCAUUUAUAGUUGUCUGUACUCAGACAUGUUAAGCUUCCGCAUGUGUUUGACUUGUAUGCUCUGAAUGCUGGGUCGAGAGAUCCAUGUUUGUAAUAUCUGGCUCUUCGGAGCCUAAUGAAUAAAUACUCUCAGUCGUAGAGUCUUGUUGUGAUGCCAUGUUGUAUUUGCACAUAUCGAGCAUAUUGUG
rnacentral:lncRNA from 1 species